GCAUCACGAUGCUUUUGUUCUUACACAAUCUCCUGGAUGGAAUCAGGUGUGCAAGCACAAACACUCAGGCUGGGAUUGUGUGCUUCCUUAUUGGUUCAUGUGUCCUAAGAACGUGCUCUUGGCAGAUAAAUGUUUCCUUGCAUAGAAACAGAAACAGCAAAACAUUAGCACGAGGUCGAACAAGCCCUUCUUCUCAAAGGCCACAGACACAGCUAGAUUCUGAAGAUGACUGACACAGGAGAACAGGUUAGCGCCUUGGCUCUGGACACGCGGAGAGCUGUCCACCUUGGGGGUGGCGGCUGCAGCCCCUUCUUCAGGAACAGAGAGGUGAUAUUUCAUAACCGAAUCGCGGGUAAAGACGCCAAAGCUGAAUGGCCAGUGAAACCCUGCGGGGUUGCUUGCUCCGUGUGAGCAACGGAUCUCCCUGACUUGUGAACCGGAUGCAUCAGCUUGUCGCGUGUGCGGGCCGACACGCUGUUCCCCACGGUCCCAGCCUGCUUCCCGCCUGGGUGCCCUAGCUGAAGCAGGGCUGCUUGCUUUUUCUCGGUUGUUCCCCAUGGUUUUCUGGGUGACGUGAACUUGGUCGCAGGGCCUGGGCCCCCGUCAGAUGGACAUGGGCUGGUUUCCUGUCUUGUGCUGCUCUUGUCCCCCUGCAGCCAGGGGCAGAGACAGACCACGUGCUCCCGGACGUGGCCCUUAAACAGUCAGACCUGCCUGUUGACAGGAAGUUAGCAUGUCAUGGUAGCAUGUUAACAUGUCAUGCCACGUCAACCUAGCACAAACACGGGACCACGUCCUAAAAACUCUUAUCAAAGAGGAAGGCGUCAUGAAUCACAAUUCUGGAAAGCUAUUUUGGUUGACAUUGGGCUGGUAUUACUCAUUACUUGUGGGCGGAUAUCAGAGACGCAAAAAUCCCAUCUUCCCCUGAGGGCUGUACUACUUUCCAUCCCGUGGUGGGAAUGUCUCAGCUACAAAUACGUGCGUGCUAAGUCGCUCAGUCGUGUCUGGCUCUGUGUGACCCCGUGGACUGUAGCCCCCAGACUCCUCUGUCCAUGGGAUUCUCCAGGCAAGGGUGGGUUCUCUACCACCAGCGCCACCUGGAACCUGUGAAGCUUCAGCACAGGCACACGGCGCGGUGAGCCCAAGGUGACGAAAGGGUUUGGAAGAGAAGAGACUUCCAGGAGUUUCCGAGAUGAAGGUAGCUUUCUGUUUCCGGAGGGACACGGACUCUGCUCAAAGGUCUGACCUCGCGGCAUCAGAGCAUUCAAGGAGGAGAAAUGCUCUUUGGGGCAGCGAUGGACACUGUCUGCCUUCACCGUGUCCUCACAAAUAUGAGAAGCAGAGGACAGAGAGAGGCUGGUGGCGCCCGUGUAAGUCAGCCACUGAACCUGGGCCCCUCACAAGCUUGCCACCUGCCCGGAACUUGGGGCUGAAUUACGAGCACCUGUGACUGAGCUGACCCGUCACCUGCUGCUGUUCUGCAGUGCCCACUCCUAGUUUGUGAGCUCAAAGCAAGGACGCGAUAAAGACGACCUGCUGUCACUGCUUUGUCCCCCUUUGGGAAUUUCUAACACAAGCUUCCCUGGUGGUUCAGAGGGUAAAGCAUUUGCCUGCAAUGCAGGAGACCUGGGUUUGAUCCCUGGGUCUGGAAGAUGCUCUGGAGAAGGAAAUGGCAACCCACUCCAGUAUGCUGGCCUGGAGAAUCCCAUGGACUAUAUAGUCCGCAGGUUUGCAAAGAGUUGGACACGACUGAGUGACUUCACUUUCUUUUCUUUUUCUAUCUAACACACGUUCAUUUCAGGUCUCGGACUUUUGUGCCACUGCG